rnacentral:ncRNA from 1 species
UCGUCCUGCCUCGUGAUCGUCUUCUCAACCUUCACCGGGCAGGCGGAGAAAAGGGGCGGCCCCGCGAGGACGUGACUCGCGGGGCCGCCCC